rnacentral:rRNA from 1 species
UACGAAGGGUGCAAGCGUUACUCGGAAUUACUGGGCGUAAAGCGUGCGUAGGCGGUUUGUUAAGUCCGUUGUGAAAGCCCUGGGCUCAACCUGGGAAUUGCAGUGGAUACUGGCAAGCUAGAGUACGGUAGAGGAUGGUGGAAUUCCCGGUGUAGCGGUGAAAUGCGUAGAGAUCGGGAGGAACACCCGUGGCGAAGGCGGCCAUCUGGACCAGUACUGACGCUGAGGCACGAAAGCGUGGGGAGCAAACAGG